AACUUCCGGGCGGGGCAUGACUUCCGGUUCCCGCGCGGCGCUCCAAAGCUUGGGGAGUGGUGGUCUCCCUUUCCUGGAGUCAUUUGUGGGAGUUAGGGUCUUAUCCUGAUCUUUCCUCGUCCCCCGCUCCCCCGUCCUCCGAGGUGGCAGCUGCGUAGAAGUCUGGAACGUUUUUUCUUAGAGUUCCAGAAUUGAGACUGAAGUGUACCCAGAGACACAAAGAAAUACAGAAGUCCAGAAUGAUCAAAUGAGAUCACUACCCAAUGAAAUGAUGGGCCGAGGAGCCAGAAGUUGUCCUACUACCUGCUUUCCAGGUCCAGAUUCCACGAGAGCCUUCUGGGCUCCCACCAGAGACCCUCAGUGAAGACUCUGUUGAAGACUUUAAGACCAUGCUAGAAAGCCUCCCGGCAGAGGUUCAGGAAGUUCUGCUAUGAGGAUGCAGCUGGCCCCAGGGAUGUCCUCAGGCAUCUCUAGGACCUUGCUGGACGGUGGCUGAGACCUGAUAUCCACACAAAGGAGCAGACUGUGGAAAUGCUGGUGCAGGAGCAAUUCCAGGCUGUCCUGCCUGAGGAGCUCAGAGCUCAAGCACAGAGAUGUCAGCCUGGAAUCAGAAUCACUGGCUAAGUCUUGCUGCUUGCUUCUUGCUCAGCCUACAUAUGAGAAGUCAACCAAGCGUUCUCUUGGAUGCAAGAUCCAACUGCACCCAUGAGAAAUCUGAACUUCCACUUUCUUUGAGCUUGUCUUUGGUUGUAAUAAGAAUCCAUCAAAACCCAUGUCUGGAUCUCUCCUUUGGCUGAGGCAGCUUUAUUUCCUACAGAAAGAGUUUCUCUGUCCUCUUGUUAGGACAAUCAGCCUGCUGCUUUGGGCUUUUCCAAGAGCGUAUUUUUCAUCUGCUGGAUGCCUCUUUUUUUUUUUUUUUUGCACUUUGUGACAUGCUUUAAUAUAUAUUUUUUUAUGUAUCCAAAGAGGUAAUCAACUUUAACUUUCAGAAUUCAUGAAUCUUGGUUUGGUGGCAUGAAUGAAAGGUUAUGUAACCCCACCAGUAACUCAUUUGGGGUGCCCUUGAAAUAUUAAAGUUUGGUCCUCAAUAAA